GGAAGCCCAACAAGACCUAAUCCAUUACCCCUUCUUCUUUAACCCUUACACCCUAACCUUUUCUUCCUAACCCUACACACUACUAAAACCCUAGAGAAGACUCCUGAACACUCCAACCACCGAACCCUCUGUUGCCCAUAACCAAACCAACAACCCUUCUUCUCCAACACACAAAGAAGCAGCCCUAACGCCCUAAAAAUGCGCCGGAAAAAUGUCCAACCGCCGCCCGCCGCCCAAAUAACCUAACACACAACAACCAACUACCUGCCACCCCCAUCCUUUCUCCAUCUCCAGUAUCAAAUAGACCCCAGCAGCGGAACCCAGUAGCCGCCGUCGUUCCUAAAACCAGCGCCGCCGCCCUUCACCCUCACUGCACAAAGCCGCCGACCACCAACUCCACCAGCCCUUAAGCGGCAAACAUCCACCAAACGAGCAGCCGAUGUUGCUUCCUAACUCACUCCAAACGACCUGCAACCGUCUCACCUCCCAAUCCCAAACACACACACACAUGGAUAGAGGUGAGGAAGAUAUAAAUUUUGAAGAGGUUUUUGGACGUAAAUCGGAGAAGUAGAUCGAGAGUUUGGAGAAUUUGAGGGGUUCAUCAUUUACUGCGUUCGACGUCAACUUCCAAAAAAAAAAUAAGAGAAUUAACAAAAUAUUUCAAAUCUCUUUUACUUUAUUUCUGAUUUCAAUGGGAAUUUAUGAAGUUUGGCUACAGUGGAGUAAAGUUGAGGUCGUCGCCGUCCGCCAAAAUCCCGGUUCAAGUUCGAGGUAUGGAUUCAUUUACUACAGCUCGAGCAUGAGAGAUACCCUAGGAUCACUGCAUUCAGGAGCUUCUUGAUGAGCCUUUUUUAUGUUUUUGAGUCUAUUGUUCAUGUUUUAUUUCCUAGUCAUGUACAGUAGUAUUAAGUCAUUUAGUUGGUGCCAGAGUUGUCGUAGUAUAAUUUAGUUUGUCGAGUCUCUAAUUAUCGUACUUCCUGUUUUGUAUUUGAAAACCGAAAAAAAAAUUAAAUGAAAAAUCCAAAAAGAUUUUAUUUUUUAGUUUA